CGAGGGAACCUUAUAAUUUUCUAUCCUCUCACAGCUUCAUUGGAACAUACUAAAAUAACAAGAAUUGGCAAUGAACAUGGGCUUAGCGGUGAGCACAAUUUUCUGCUUCCAUAUGCUUAUUUAUUGUGAGUAGUUGGCAAACUAAUACAGUAGAAAGAUAGACAGAGUCUGAAGGGAGGAGCUUGAAGAUAUCUUUGGUGUGGUGGAUCUCUGUUGAUAGUGGUGGAAGACAUCAAACAUCUUGAUUUACAAAGAGAAGACAGCUAUUUAAUUGUUGCUAGGGAACAUGGCUAAGGGUUUGAUAUGGGCAACAGCCGAGGACUUGGCAAGGAAUAGAGGACGAGUCCUUUCUCUAUACUGUCAGAUAUUAAGAAGCCUCAAUUCCACAAAACUUCCCAUGAACUUCGCAGCAAGAUUGGCCAAGAAAGCAGAGGCUCGUGCUAUCUUCAUGCUAGGCGCGGAAGAGGAAUCCCUUCACAACAUUGAGGACCUCGUUGAUAGUGGAGUGUACGCUCUUUCCCUCUUAAGAGAAGGGGAAAUCCCUAAGUACAUCCAAUGAGUGCACCACUGGUUACUGAGCCUCUCUCAUACUGUGCUAUUGCUAGUUUUUGAUAGAAUUUACACUGUCCUUCAAAUUUCGUUUG